rnacentral:rRNA from 1 species
CAGCAGCCGCGGUAAUACGGAGGGUGCAAGCGUUAAUCGGAAUUACUGGGCGUAAAGCGCACGCAGGCGGUCUGACAAGUCAGAUGUGAAAUCCCCGGGCUUAACCUGGGAACUGCAUUUGAAACUGUCAGGCUGGAGUCUUGUAGAGGGGGGUGGAAUUCCAGGUGUAGCGGUGAAAUGCGUAGAGAUCUGGAGGAAUACCGGUGGCGAAGGCGGCCCCCUGGACAAAGACUGACGCUCAGGUGCGUAAGCGUGGGGAGCAAACAGGAUUAGAUACCCGAGUAGUCCCUGUCUCUUAUAC